AUUGAACGCUGGCGGCAGGCCUAACACAUGCAAGUCGAGCGAGCGGCGGACGGGUGCGUAAUGUAUGGGGACUGCCCGAUCGAGUGGGAUAACUACUGGGAACGGUAGCUAAUACCGCAUACUAUCGGAUAACCCAUAUGGGAUUAGCUAGUAGGUGAGGUAAUGGCUAACCUGGGCGACGAUCCCUAGCUGGUCUGAGAGGAUGAUCAGCCACACUGGGACUGAGACACGGCCCAGACGCCUACGGAGGCAGCAGUGGGGAAUAUUGCACAAUGGGCGCAAGCCUGAUGCAGCCAUGCCGCGUGUAUGAAGAAGGCCCGAGGGUUGUAAAGUACUUUCAGUCGGGAGGCGUUACCGACAGAAGAAGCACCGGCUAACUCCGUGCCAGCAGCCGCGGUAAUUC
rnacentral:rRNA from 1 species